UGGGAAUUUUGGACAAUGGGCGCAAGCCUGAUCCAGCCAUGCCGCGUGCGGGAAGAAGGCCUUCGGGUUGUAAACCGCUUUUGUCAGGGAAGAAAUCUUCUGAGUUAAUGCCUCGGGAGGAUGACGGUACCUGAAGAAUAAGCACCGGCUAACUACGUGCCAGCAGCCGCGGUAAUACGUAGGGUGCAAGCGUUAAUCGGAAUUACUGGGCGUAAAGCGUGCGCAGGCGGUUUUGUAAGACAGAGGUGAAAUCCCCGGGCUCAACCUGGGAACUGCCUUUGUGACUGCAAGGCUUGAGUGCGGCAGAGGGGGAUGGAAUUCCGCGUGUAGCAGUGAAAUGCGUAGAUAUGCGGAGGAACACCGAUGGCGAAGGCAAUCCCCUGGGCCUGCACCUGACGCUCAUGCACGAAAGCGUGGGGAGCAAACAGGAUUAGAUACCCUGGUAGUCCACGCCCUAAAACGAUGUCAACUGGUUGUUGGGAAAGGUUCCUUCUCAGUAACGUAGCUAACGUGUGAAGUUGACCGCCUGGGGAGUAC
rnacentral:rRNA from 1 species